rnacentral:rRNA from 1 species
AUACGUAGGGGGCGAGCGUUGUCCGGAAUUACUGGGCGUAAAGGGUGCGUAGGCGGCCAAAUAAGUCAGAUGUGAAAUACCAGGGCUUAACCCUGGGGGUGCAUAUGAAACUGUAUGGCUUGAGUGCAGGAGAGGGAAGUGGAAUUCCUAGUGUAGCGGUGAAAUGCGUAGAGAUUAGGAAGAACACCAGUGGCGAAGGCGGCUUUCUGGACUGUAACUGACGCUGAGGCACGAAAGCGUGGGUAGCGAACAGGAUUAGAUACCCUGGUAGUCCACGCCGUAAACGAUGGAUACUAGGUGUAGGGGGUAUCGACCCCCCCUGUGCCGGAGUUAACGCAAUAAGUAUCCCGCCUGGGGAGUACGGCCGCAAGGUUGAA